UGGCUCAGAACGAACGCUGGCGGCGCGUUUAAGCAUGCAAGUCGAGCGGCAAGGGCCUUCGGGCCCCUAGAGCGGCGGACGGGUGAGUAACACGUGGACAAUCUGCCCCCCGGCCCGGGAUAGCCCAGGGAAACCUGGAUUAAUACCGGAUGAGACGGGACCCGCGAUGGCGGGACCCGGGAAAGGCGCUGCGGCGCCGCCGGGGGAUGAGUCUGCGUCCCAUUAGCUAGACGGCGGGGUAACGGCCCACCGUGGCGACGAUGGGUAGCCGGCCUGAGAGGGUGGACGGCCACAUUGGAACUGAGACACGGUCCAGACUCCUACGGGAGGCAGCAGCUAAGAAUCUUCCGCAAUGGGCGAAAGCCUGACGGAGCCGACGCCGCGUGAACGAAGAAGGCCGUGAGGUUGUAAAGUUCUUUUCGGGAGGGGGAACAACCGUGGCAGGGAAUGGCCGCGGGAUGACGUGAAUCCCGGAAUAAGCCCCGGCUAACUACGUGCCAGCAGCCGC
rnacentral:rRNA from 1 species